rfam:Capsicum annuum cultivar Zunla-1 chromosome 1, whole genome shotgun sequence
UGAUGAUGGUGAGGGCAAUUUCUGAGCAUAACCUUAAAUCUCUCCCAAUCUUGGUAGAGAUUCUCUCCAUCUUUCUGUCUAAAACUCAAGAUUUCACUCCUCAAGUA